GAUAACCAGUCGAAAGAUUGGCUAAUACCGGAUAAGCCCACGGUCUCUUCGGAGACUGAGGGANAAGGUGGCCUCUGUAUACAAGCUAUCACAACCAGAUGAGUCCGCGGCCCAUCAGCUAUUUGGCGGGGUAAUGGCCCACCAAGGCAACGACGGGUAGCUGGUCUGAGAGGACGAUCAGCCACACUGGAACUGAGACACGGUCCAGACUCCUACGGGAGGCAGCAGUGGGGAAUUUUGCGCAAUGGGCGAAAGCCUGACGCAGCAACGCCGCGUGUGUGAUGAAGGUCUUUGGAUUGUAAAGCACUUUCGACCGGGACGAAACCGUAAAGCCUAAUACGCUUUGCCUUGACGGUACCGGGAGAANAAGCACCGGCUAACUCUGUGCCAGCAGCCGCGGUAAUACAGAGGGUGCAAGCGUUGUUCGGAAUUAUUGGGCGUAAAGCGCGUGUAGGCGGCUUUGCAAGUCGGGUGUGAAAGCCCUCAGCUCAACUGAGGAAGUGCGCCCGAAACUGCAGAGCUUGAGUGCCGGAGAGGGUGGCGGAAUUCCCCAAGUAGAGGUGAAAUUCUUAGAUAUGGGGAGGAACACCGGUGGCGAAGGCGGCCACCUGGACGGUAACUGACGCUGAGACGCGAAAGCGUGGGUAGCAAACAGGAUAAAUACCUGGGUGUCCACGCCGUAANCGAUGAAAACUAAGUGUCCGGGGAGUUGAACCCCG
rnacentral:rRNA from 1 species